rnacentral:lncRNA from 1 species
CUGGGGCUUUCUGUUUCUCGAUCUUGGGUAGCCUAAGAUUUAUUAGUGGUGGUAAUGAUCUUUUAUUUUGCAUUCUAGUUCUGUUGUCAAGAAUAUGGUUUUUCUUUUUUCUUUUUCUUUCCGUUAGAGUAUUAAACCUCAUUUAUUGGCUCUGCUAUUGGAAAUAAAUUACUGGAUUGUCUCAAAGGAUCAGGAUUAUUGUUGUUUGGGUGUUGGAAAGAAUUUUUGGAUGCAGGCAAGAAUUCUACGUGCAUUCAUUUCAUUUCUAAUAUGGCUUAAUAACCUA